rnacentral:lncRNA from 1 species
AACCAGGAGGAACCGCAGCUCCACCUGGCUGUGAGUCAAAAAUACCAGGGAGUUUUAAAAAAGCACCAGUACCCAGGGCCUUUCAUAGACCCACAGAACCAGACUCUCCAGGGAUUUCAAGAAAGUUCUCGAAGGAUCCUGAAGUACAGGAGGUUGGGGCGUGUGGCCUGGAUAUGGCCAUCGCUGGCUGCAGGGCCGAGCCGGUCAGCUCAGCUCCUACAGCUGCUGGGAACACUGAGAAGGAGGAUGGGUGUGCAGUACACAGGAGAGCCUGGAACAGAUCAUUCCCUGUUGGGACGAAGGGCAGGAUC